GGGGGCUGUGGACACAGGGUGGCGGGCGCUGCCUCUCAUGGCUUCUUUUCUCCCUGGUGGGCUGGUGGGCUAGUAGCUGAGGCCGGCGGUCCUCUCCCCCGGGGAGCAGGCAGAUGACUUUGGCAAGGGGUGGUGUGGCGGGGGCUGGGGUUACUCCGUCUGGGCGUCGUAAUUGGCUCCCCCCGCCUUCUUCAGCUCGCUCUUGAUGAAAUCUUCCUCCAGCUCCUUCCGAU
rnacentral:lncRNA from 1 species